GAUUACAGUUGACUUCCCUUAAGACUGGCUGGUUUGACCUCUUUGCUGUCCAAGGGGCUCUUGGGAGUCUUCUCCAGCACCACAGCUGCUGCUGCUGCUGCCAGGUCGCUUCAGGCGUGUCCGACUCUGUGUGACCCCAUGGACGGCAGCCCACCAGGCUCCCCCGUCCCUGGGAUUCUCCAGGAGAGGUCAAAUUCUAGGCCAUAAAACAGGUCUCAAUAAAUUUAAGAAGACUGAAAUCAGAUCAAGCAUUCUAUCUGACUACGAUGCUAUGAGACUAGAAAUCUACUAAAAGGAAAAAAACCUACAAACAUGUGGAAACUAAAUAGUGUGCUAUGAAAUAACCAGUGGGUCACUGAAGAAAUUAAACUGGAGAUUAAAAAAAAAAAAGAAACACAAGGAUACAAAAAU